rnacentral:rRNA from 1 species
GAUGAACGCUGGCGGCGUGCCUAAUACAUGCAAGUCGAGCGAAGCGGGGACGGGUGAGUAACACGUGGAUAACCUGCUAUAAGACUGGGAUAAUUUCGGGAAACCGGAACUAAAAAGGAUACUUAGAGAUGGAUCAGCGCUGCAUUAGCUAGUUGUUAAGGUAACGGCUUACCAAGGCAACGAUGCAUAGCCGACCUGAGAGAUUGAUCGGCCACACUGGAACUGAGACACGGUCCAAACUCCUACGGGAGGCAGCAGUAGGGAAUCUUCCGCAAUGGGCGAAAGCCUGACGGAGCAACGCCGCGUGAGUGAUGAAGGUCUUCGGAUCGUAAAACUCUGUUAUUAGGGAAGCGGUACCUAAUCAGAAAGCCACGGCUAACUACGUGCCAGCCGCCGCGGUAAUAC